GACUUGUUGGCCAUACCUGAUCUGAGGUGUGCCCAGCAGCAAAUGUCCCAGAGGGGCAAGAAGGCUCCCCACCGCCUGCUCUUUUCGUC